rnacentral:tRNA from 1 species
UGCCCGAUAGCCAAGCGGUAAGGCAACGGACUUUGACUCCGUGAAUCGUGGGUUCGAUUCCCACUCGGGCAACCA